rnacentral:lncRNA from 1 species
UCGCAAACAACACUUCAUAUACAAUUGCAAACAGUCCCUGAAAAAUUGUCUAACCCACAGAAUAACUGCAUAAGGUGGUGAAAUACCUUGAACAAUCUUCGUGUCAUAUACAAUGUACGCCACUCCGUCUCUAUGCUUCAUCGAACGCCACCCCCUUCGCUCGCGAUUCCUCAAGAAUUCCGGCACAAUUUCUCUAUUUUCAUGAAUCUAAAGUUAGUUUCGCAAUCUUGUCUAGCCCUUUUACCAACGGUCAGAACGCAAAAGUUGAAAGCAGCAGUACUGUGUAUGGAAAUCAAGAUAAUGCUGCGAAAUCUUCUGAACGCGUUUCUCAAUCUGGUUCAACCAUUAAAGCACCCACUGCUCCGUGGGUGAAGGGUCCUCUUCUUCUUGAACCCAAUCAAUUAAGAAAUUUUCUUCAAGACCUAGAAAAGAUUCCACCUCAGAUGAAAUUGAACAACACCCUGAUAAGGCCUUGGCUGGUGCCUGGUAAAGUGAAUGGUGGAAGAGGGAAAAAAGCCAUGAAGAAAAUCUUUCAAGGCAUUGAGAAACUCCAAGAAGCCGAAAAUUUGGAGGAAACUCAGUGGGACCCGGAAAAUGUUAAAUUCAGAUUUGCACCUGGUGACUUGUGGGGAAAUGCAGUCUUUGAAAAUGUUGUAGGAGUUCAGGGAGAUUGAAGAAAAUGCCGUGGGAGAGAGAUGAGAAAAAUGUUGAUUAACAGGGUAAAAAAGGAGGAGUUUACCACUGCCGAGUUGGUUCUUGAUGGAAUAUUGAUAAAGAGGUUGCGGGUGCGGGGUGAGGCUGCCAUAACGAGAAAAUGGGCGAAGGUUAAGAAAGCUGGAGUGACUCAAGCUGUUGUUGAUCAAAUUCAUUUUAUUUGGAAGAACAAUGAACUUGCCUUAAUCAAGUUUGAUCUGCCCUUGUGCCAAUACGGAGAGAGCGCAAGAGAUCACUGAGGUUAUGUUUGUUUACCUUUCCUUUUCUUUAUCUACAUAAAUCAGCCUAUACUUCUGAAAUCGUCAGUCUUUUAACAUAAGUUGAUUGUUACAACAAAAAUAUAAAAUUAGAAUAAAAUGAUCACAGUUGUAUAUAUUCUUUUUAUCCAAGCUUUAUCUAUUAAGUCACCCCAUAAGUCUGCAGUCCUUCUGUUUCAGAAAGUUCAAGAUGCACCUCGUGUUAGUGAUCAAGUUGAACAUGAUUCUAGCACUCAAUUCUUAUCCCAUAUGAAUUGUAGACAUGCUUUUAAUUAGUGAUCAAUUUGAACAUGAUUAUUUCUUUGUACUUCCCACUAUAGCACCUCCAAUCCAUUGGGAAAGAAGUUUUUUCUGUAAAUGCAUCAAUUAUUCAGUAUCCUACCUUUAGAACAUUUUGUGAUUGUUAAAAAUAAUUUUAAUUGUAUCCGCAUAUGUUUUUCCUUAGUUGCUGUUAUCUUUGUUAUUUCCCUUUCAUCUUGUUUUUACAUCCUUGUUCUUUCCUUAAAAAUUACAAUGUUGUUUUAGUUGCUUCCUGAUCUCUAGGCAGAUGAAGACUGGAGGCCUUGUUGUGUGGAAUAAGGAAGAUUUUCUUGCGGUUUAUAGAGGUUGCAACUAUUUUCCAGGUUCAAGAAAUUUUUGAAGAUUCAUCAGAACUCAGUCAGCGAUCAAGAAAAUCUAUCCUCAAAUAUGAGUUACCAAAUCACCAGUCCUAUCUGGCUCUCUCUCAAUUAACAUCAAGUGGAAGUAGUCCUUACAAAAUAAAUAAUGGUAUAGAAGGUGAAUGGGAGAUCUUACAAAUCAAUGUACCAAUGUACGAAAGAGAAGCAGGUGGAUUAUUGGAUGGGUUAGGACCACGCUUUGUUGAUUGGUGGAUGCCGAAGCAUUUGCCAGUGGAUGCAGACUUGCUCCCAGAAGUUGUUCCUGGACUUGAGACACUGACGGAUGCUGAACUUACAUAUUUGAGAAAACUCACUCACCCUUUACCAACUGAAGAAUAUGUAAUCUUUAUUCUUAUUUCAAUGAUAAAACAAUGUACAAUUUAUAGGAAAAACAGAAGGAAUAAAUCACUUCCUUAAAUCAAGAAAAGAUUUAAUUUCUUAAACUACUCUGCUGACUAAAUGCCUAAGAAUUGGAAAUGAUAAAAAUAACACCCCUUAAUUGGGGAACUAAUUUACAGCUGCAGGAUCUGCUAGAAAUUAGGACUGAAAAUCAGGAAUUCUAUACCCGCCCUCAAGCUAAGCUAUAAAUGUUAAUUACACCUAGCUUGGAACUUAGUUCUUCAAAUGUUUUUCUUGGUAUCGCCUUAGUGAGAAUAUCUACAGUCUGUUGACAUGUUGGAGUGUAAAGUAGAGAUAUUAUCCUAGACUCUAUUUUCUCUGUGACAAAGUGCUGAUCAGUUUUCACCUGUUUUGUCCUGUCAUGAUGAAUUGGAUUCUUUGCUAUGAUGAUGGCAGAUUGAUUGUUGCAAUAUAUCUUCAUAGGAUCUGUAACUGGAAUAUUUAAUUCUUGAAGCACCCUUCUUAGCCAUAUUACUUCACACAUACCAUGAGCUAAAUCUCUAAAUUUUGCUUCUGCGCUGCUUCGAGAUACAACAGAUUGUUUUUUACUUCGCCAAGUGACUAGAUUUCCCUAGACGUAAGUGCAAUACCCAGAAGUUGAUCGUUGGUCAGUUAGGGACCCGGCCAAUCUUCAGUGAAGAUUUCAACUUCUUUGCUUGAAGUCUUCUUGAAGAAUAAUCCUUUGCCCGGAGUCAUCUUUAGAUACCUUAGAAUUCUAAAAACAGCCUCCAUGCGUUCUUCAGUUGGUUUAUUCAUAAAUUGACUCACCAUAUUGACAGAGAAACUCUGGUCUAGUGUGGGAAAGAUAAAUAAGUUUCCCAACUAAUCUUUCGUAUUUAUCCUUAUCCACAGGUGCACUAUCUUUCCUUGUUCCCAAUUUGAUAGAUGAAUCCAUAGGAGUGUCAACACGUUUACAACCAAGCAUUCCUGUUUCCUUCAGGAGAUCUAGUACAUACUUUCGCCGAGAUACUUAUAUUCAUCUUUUCGAUCAUGCCACUUCCAUCCCAAGGAAGUACUUGAGAUUGCCUAGAUCUUUAAUCUCAAAUUCUUUAGCUAAGAAUCCUUUGAGCUUGAGUAUCUCGUCUUCAUGAUCUCCUGUCAAGAUGAUAUCAUCUACGUACACAAUAAGAAUCGCUCUUUUUUCUGUAGAUGAUUGUUUAAUAAACAUAGUGUGAUUUGCCUGACAUUGAGUGUACCCAAAUCUCUUUAAUGCUUUAUUAAAUCUGUCAAACUAGGCCUUUGGAGAUUGUUUGAGGCCAUAUAAUGAUUUUCUUAGCUAACAAACCUUGUUUAUUGUAGUUUGAGUUGCAAAACCAGGGGUAAUCUCCAUGUAAACCUCUUUCUUUAGGUCUCCAUUAAGGAAUGCAUUCUUUACAUCUAGUUGAUAUAAUGGACAGUCCAGGUUGGAAGCUAAUGACAACAUUAUGCGAACUGUGUUAAGUUUGGCAACAGGAGCAAAUGUUUCUUGAUAGUCAAUUCCAUAGGACUGCGUGAAUCCUUUUGCUACCAAACGAGCCUUAAAUUUGUUUACACUUCCAUCUGCAUUAUGUUUAACAGUAAAGAUCCACUUGCAUCCUACUAGGCGUUUUCCAAUUGGCAGAUCAGAUAUUUCCCAUGUCCUAUUUUGUUCCAAUGCUCGAAUUUCUUCUAAAACUACAGUUUUCCAUCAUGGUACAGCAAGUGCUUCAUGUAUAGAAUUAGGAAUUUGCAUUUUAUCAAGAUUGCUAAUGCUCGAUAACCAGUUGACAGCCCAUUUUAUGAAAUAAAAUUACAGAUAGGAUGGGAGGUGCAGGACCUCACACCUUAUUGCAAGGCAAUCGGCAAAUUAAGAUCAUCAUUAGGAAUUUCAAUAGGAGCCGAAUUGGAGCUGGUGUUAACUGGUGAAAUUUCUAGAGAUUUUGAAGUUGGGUUGGACUCAUAGUUAUGCUCAGGUGGCUGUUCUCUUCUUUCCUGAGUUUUGUUUCUCCUAGUGUAGACAUGUAACUCACAAGAAUCAGCAGGGAUGCUUUGCUUUGGAAUUUGAGAUUUUGGCUUAGAAACUAAAGGUGUUGUCUGGGACUCUAAUGAUGGUAUGUCAGCCUGAACAAUCAUGUUUGGAGUCUGAUUUAAUUGAGGAAUUUCAGUUGAAGGUAUAGACAGAUCCGUGGUGAGAUGGAUUAGAAGUAUCAAUGUCCCAAAGCUGGUAUUCCCGUGUAAAAUUCUCCCCCCGAAUAUCAGAUUUGGGGUAAUAAGGUUGUUGUUCGAAGAAGGAGACAUCCAUGGAUUUGUAGAAUUUUCUUGUAAUUGGAGAGUAGCAUUUAUAACCCUUUUGACUUGAGGAAUACCCAAUGAAGAUACAUUUGAGGGCCUUGGGAUCAAGUUUACUUCGAUGUUGGGGGUGUAUGUGGAUAAACACGGAACAACCAAAAAUUUUAAAUGGAAUGGUGGACAGGACUCGAGUAGUAGGAUAUGAAUGGAGAAGGACUUGGUAGGGUGACUGAAAGUUCAACACUCAUGAGGGCAUUCUAUUUAUUAAAUAUGUAGCAGUUAAUAUUGCCUCUCCCCAAAAAAUUUAGGAACAUGUGUGGUGAACACAAGUGAUCGAGCAACUUCUAAAAGGUGUCUAUUUUUUCUUUCAGCUACCCCAUUUUGUUGGGGCGUGUCCACACAAAAAUUUUGAUGAAUGAUGCCCUGAUUAACUAGAUAAUCUCCUAGGAUGACGUCAAAAUAUUCUCUUACAUUAUCAGUUUUUAACACUUGUAUUUUUGUUUGGAACUAUGUCUGGAUCAUAGUGUCAAGUUUUUGAAGAUUUGACUAAUUUCAGAUUUUUCUUUCAUAAGAAAUAACCAUGUAAUCCUAGAGUGAUCAUCUACAAAGGAUAUGAACCAUCUAGUUCCAGCAAUAUUUUUAAUUCUAGAUGGUCUCCACACGUCACUAUGGAUUAAUGAGAAAUGUUGGAUUUUAUCGCAAUAUUAAAGAGAUGAAAAACGGAAAUCAACACAAGAAUUUUACGUGGUUCGGCGAUGUGCCUACGUCCACGAGAGCGAAGCGGAGAUUUCUUUACUCAGUUGUAAAAAAUAGGGUUACAAUAUAUUAUUUAUACUAACCCUAAUCUGGGCCCAUAUAAAACUUUAAGGCCCGUACAGAAAAUACCCCUGUACUGUACCGCGGGGGCGUUGCCCCCACACCCCCAACCUAUUUAGCGUCCCUAACAACCAGAUAGUGAAUUAAACCUGCGUAAGGCCGAUGCCGUCGCUCCGCUCCUCUCACUCCACUCCGCUCCGCACCAGCAUCGGCCCAUUUGAUCCAGCGCCUAUAUUCCACUCUAUAUGAGCCGCAUGUACAACAAGAAAGGAUGAAAUGCUUUGUAUGGUUUGAUGAAAUAAGAGUUGCGAAUAUGUUUUGCAAAUUGAGAUACUUCACAUUGAAACUCCAUUGGAUUUUUAUUAUUGAAUAAGGAAGGAAAUAACUUCUGAAGAUCCAAGAAAUUUGCAUGACCUAAACGGUAGUGCCACAACAUGAUUUCAGUAUCUUUAUUGAAUUGACAAGUGGAAACAAGGCAUUGAGAAAACUGACUCUUGGGCUUUACUCUUUCUGCUUUGUGAGUUUGUCCUUUAAGAGAUUCAUCAACUCUAAGAAGAUAAAGACUUGAGCACACCUCAGCACUGUCAAUCAUCCUCUCUGAAUUCAAAUCCUGAAAUUCAAACAAAUUUGAAUGGAAUUUAGUAACACACUUAUGUUCUUGAGUGAGCUUACUAGUUGACAGGAGAUUGCAAUUCAAUUUUGGUACAUGAAGCACUGAAUUUAGCUUGAGAUUUCUGGAAAUAAUAAUAGAACCUGUGCCAGCAACCUCGGCGACUGAUCCAUCAUCUAUUUUCAUAGUAAAAUUUUCACAGCAUGGAUUAUAUUGGUCAAAGAGAUUAAUAUCUCCAGUCAUGUGAUCCUAUGCACCCGAGUUUAAAAUCCUUGGAUUUAUUUUUUCUUUAUUUAUUGUAAGAGCACUUAAAGAAUUACCUAUGUGUGCUAAGGAUCUGGUUCCAAUUGUGUUAUCAGGUGGACAACAUCUUCUGUAAUACUUUAAGUUGCUCUUUGCUGAAAGGAUUUGGUUUNUAUUUCAUGAACGCACGAAG